rnacentral:rRNA from 1 species
UUUUCCCUACGGGGGGCAGCAGUGAGGAAUAUUGGUCAAUGGACGAAAGUCUGAACCAGCCAUGCCGCGUGCAGGAAGACGGCUCUAUGAGUUGUAAACUGCUUUUGUACAAGGGUAAACCUGAAUACGUGUAUUCAGCUGAAAGUACUGUACGAAUAAGGAUCGGCUAACUCCGUGCCAGCAGCCGCGGUAAUACGGAGGAUCCAAGCGUUAUCCGGAUUUAUUGGGUUUAAAGGGUGCGUAGGCGGAUUGAUAAGUUAGAGGUGAAAUGUUCGGGCUCAACUCGGGAGCUGCCUCUAAUACUG